GCGGAGGGAUCAUUACAAGUUGACCCCGGCCCUCGGGCCGGGAUGUUCACAACCCUUUGUUGUCCGGCUCUGUUGCCUCCGGGGCGACCCUGCCUCCGGGCGGGGGCCCCGGGUGGACAUUUCAAACUCUUGCGUAACUUUGCAGUCUGAGUAAAUUUAAUUAAUAAAUUAAAACUUUCAACAACGGAUCUCUUGGUUCUGGCA
rnacentral:misc_RNA from 1 species